UUUUUUUUUUUUUUUUUUUUUCCUGACAGUUAAUUCAUUAAUACUAAUACUAUCGAGGAUUCUGUCAUCCAAGNGGAAUGAACAUGGGCAUCAAAGGAAUGUUUCCUCAAAGNGAGAACUAUAGNGUUGCAAGAGCGAAUACUUGGUCGCUUANAACAAAACGAAUUACUGUCAUUAGGAUAUGCUCAAAAGNGNGGCGCUAUAUCUUGUAUCUAUUGCUACGUUCAUUCAUUGAUCCAACAGUAUGGGUAUAGAAAGAAGACGAUAAGCAGGAGUUGCGCAAACGAAGUUAUGGAGUUUCUUGCAUGCAUGCAUGUUUUGGCAUAAAGCUGGUACUUCNAAAUAUGCCUAUGAAAUCUCUACCUGCUUUGCACCCUAAAUAUAACGNGUCGUCUUGUAGCUGCAUGUGAAUUACAACGAUUGAUAGAUGAAAAACAAAUCGACUUGUUGCCCAUUUCAUCGUUUCAAACGACUGGNAGNGUUGCUUGUGUCCAUACCCAUGCUGUGUCCAUAUCCAUACUAUGUCCGGGUGUUUUGCUUUAUUACACUUGGUCAAANAAAUCUAUAUGAUGUUCUUUACGAAACCCACAAAGUCACAAUUGUGAUCUUCCAAUGCUUAAUAAAUACGAAAUCUUAUUUCGAUUUACAGGCUGGGCAUUCACGAAACAUAGCGUUUUUACAUUUCUACAGGCACACUAUAAACAACUUGCAAUAUCUGCCAUCACUUUAUUUCUCNAACUUUGUUCAAGUUAAAAGNGGCAGAAAGUGUUUCCCGAUAUGAGAUANCCCANCGCAUAUGUUGUUGCAAAACUAAACGCCCAUUCNUCAAACGAGUCGAGAUGAGAGGAAUCNUUGUAUAAAA
rnacentral:sRNA from 1 species